ACCUUAAUGCUAACUCUAUUAAUAGAUAAUAAACAAUAACAAACUAAAACAUUCUAAAUUUAAGUAUAGGCGAUAGAAAUUAACUAUUAGAUGUGAUAGAAAAAGUACCGCAAGGGAAUGCUGAAAAAGAACUUAAAUAAACCAUAAAAGUAAUAAAAAGCAGAGAUUAACGCUCGUACCUUUUGCAUCAUGAUCUAGCUAGUCAAAACAAGGCAAAAAGAUUUUUAAGUCUUUCUCCCCGAAACUAGACGAGCUAUUUAAGAGCAGCCUAUACGGGCAAAUCCGUCUCUGUGGCAAAAGAGUGGAAAGACUUUUAAAUAGGGGUGAUAUAUCUAACAAGCCUAGUGAUAGCUGGUUGCUCAAGAAACGAGUCUAAGCUCCAUCUUCAACCUUAUUUUAAUUAUAAUACUAUAAAAAUAAAAACUUAAGAAAAAUUUAAAAGGGGGACAGCCCUUUUAAAAAAGGACACAACCUACAACAACGGGUAAUGAUUAUAUUUCCAUAAGGUUCACACUAAAGUAAGCCUAAAAGCAGCUACCAAUAAAGAAAGCGUCAUAGCUCAAGUUAAACCAACCCAACAAUCCCAACAACAUCCUCAAAACCCAUCACACCUAUUGAGCCUACCUAUAACAUUAUAGUUAAAUUAAUGCUAGAACUAGUAAUAAGAAACAUAAUUUCUCUAUGCAUAUCUGUAAGUCAGCUCGAACCAAUCACUGAUAAUUACCGAAUUUAUAAGUAAACUCAUCAUAACUACUAGAAAUAAAACUUUACUGUCACCGUUAACCCUACACAGGCAUGUAUCAAAGAAAGAUUAAAAGAUAAAGAAGGAACUCGGCAACCACAAGCUUCGCCUGUUUACCAAAAACAUCACCUCUAGCAAACCUAACACAUAUUAGAGGCACUGCCUGCCCAGUGAUAUAUUCAACGGCCGCGGUAUCCUGACCGUGCAAAGGUAGCAUAAUCACUUGUCCCUUAAAUAGGGACUUGUAUGAACGGCAACACGAAAGCCUAACUGUCUCCUUUAUCCACUCAAUGAAAUUGAUUUCCUCGUACAAAAGCGAGAAUAAACUAACAAGACGAGAAGACCCUAUGGAGCUUUAAACACAUAAUCAAUUCUACCAAUAUAGUCCACCUUAAAGAACACAAAAUUAUGAUUACACUGUUUUUGGUUGGGGCGACCACGGAGAAAACUUAACCUCCGAGUAAUAUAACUAAGAUAAAACAUAACAAAGUAUUAACACAUUAAACAUAGACCCAAUAAAAUUGAUCAACGAACCAAGUUACCCUAGGGAUAACAGCGCAAUCUUCUUCAAGAGCCCAUAUCGCCAAGAAGGUUUACGACCUCGAUGUUGGAUCAGGAUCCCCAGACAGUGCAACCGCCGUCAAAGGUUUGUUUGUUCAACAAUUAAAAUCCUACGUGAUCUGAGUUCAGACCGGAGCAAUCCAGGUCAGUUUCUAUCUGUUAAAUAACUCUUUUUAGUACGAAAGGAUCAAAAGAGUAAGGCCAAUGUAAAAUAUAAGCCUUUUUAAAAUUAAUGAAUCAAACUAAAUUUUUACAUAUUAUUGAACCUCAAAUCGAGGUUA
rnacentral:rRNA from 1 species